UGGCUAGCUAGAUUCGUUGCACUGCAAACAGCCAUGGAACAAGCAGCUGGACUAGUGUACCAACUCUUCCAAAACGAAAUGUUUCCCUGGAUCCUAGCCUUGUUCCCAUUCCUUCUCCUAGCACUGCACUACUUGGCAACAAAUCAUAGAACACCAACAACCUGCAAGGAAACGAGGAAUCAUCUUUCCCCACCUUCACCUCCGAGGUUACCCAUCAUAGGGCACCUGCACCUCAUCGGUGACCUCCCGCACGUCUCUCUUCGUGAGCUCGCUCAUCGGUACGGCCCCAACCUCAUGCUCCUCCACCUCGGCCAGGUCCAGAACCUCGUCGUCUCCUCCCCACACGCCGCAGAGGCUGUCUUGCGCACGCAUGACCAUGUCUUUGCGUCACGGCCACACUCUUUAAUCGGCGACAUACUCCUCUACGGCCCGUCCGAUGUCGGGCUUUCGCCUUACGGCGAGCAGUGGCGGCGGAGCAGGAGGAUCGUCACAACGCACCUGCUGACCAACAAGAAGGUGCGGUCGUACCAUGUAGCACGAGAAGAGGAGGUGCAUAAGGUAAUGACCAAAGUCCAUGAGUUAUCCACCAAGGGUAUGGGAGUGGACAUGUUUGAGCUCUUCAGCACCUACUCGAAUGACCUCAUAUGCCGCCUUGUGUCGGGGAAGAACUUCCAAGGGGACAAAGGUCGAAACAAAAUGUUCCGUCAACUGUUCAAAGCAAAUUAUGUACUCCUCGCAGGGUUUAACCUAGAGGACUACUACCCAGGCUUGGCAAGGCUCAAAGCUGUGUCGUGGGUGAUGUGUGCCAAGGCCAGGAACACGAGGAAGUUGUGGGAUGAAUUGCUCGACGAGAUUAUCAAUGAUCGUAUGAGCAAACAACCAUGUGAGCAUGAUAGAGGCAAUGAUGAUCAAGAUGAGAUGGACUUCGUAGAUGUUUUGCUCCUUCAAGAGCGAGGCAUCACCAGAGAUCACCUUAAAGCAAUUCUAGUAGACAUGUUUCAAGCCGGUACGGAGACGACAUCAGUGGUGCUAGUAUUCGCCAUGGCCGAGCUUAUGCAGAAGCCACAUCUCAUGGCCAAGUUGCAGGCCGAACUAAGAACGAACAUACCCAAGUAGGGACGAGAAUUGAUCACUGAAUGUGAUCAGACCAACAUGACCUACCUCAAGGCUGUCAUCAAGGAGACACUUCGGUUGCAUCCACCAAGUCCUCUUCUCGUCCCACAUCUCGCGAUGGCUGACUGUGAUAUUGAUGGCUACACAGUUCGCUCGGGGACACGUGUCAUCGUCAAUGCAUGGGCUAUUGGAAGGAACUCUGAAUCUUGGGAAGCUGCAGAGGAGUUUUUGCCUGAGAGGUUUGUUGAUGGUGGAAGUGCCGCGAACGUAGACUUCAUAGGGACAGACUUCCAGUUCUUGCCGUUUGGCGCAAGCGGCGGAUCUGUCCUGGAAUAAACUUUGCUUCUGCGAGCAUGGAGAUCAUCCUAGCAAACCUUCUGUACCAUUUUGACUGGGAUGUUUCAGCUGAAGCAGCCAUAGAUAAAGAUGGCAUUGAUAUGGCUGAAGCGUUCGGGUUGUCAGUGCAGCUAAAGGAAAAGCUACUGCUUGUACCGGUAGAGUAUAAGGGUAGCGUGCAGGAUUCGGCUGUUAUAUUAUGAUAGGAUUAGUUUCUGUCGUAUUUAUUUGGGAUUAUGUAAAAUCCAAGUUAUGUAUAACUCUAUUUGUACGCCGGUCUCUGAGUCUGAGGUUCAAUAUAUCGAACCAUAUAUAGUUACGUGGUACAUUUAUCUCGUUCACGCUUUCAGUGCCGAAAACCUGCGAAGUCAUUCAGGAAGCACUUGAGAGUAACGUUCAGGGAUACCCACGGCCAUGUCAUUAUAUUCCUAAACUUUGUCACAUUACCAACA